GAGGGUGUAGCUCAAUGGUAGAGCAGGUGCUUAGCAUGCAUGAGAUCCUGGGUUCAAUCCUUAGUCCCUCCA
rnacentral:tRNA from 1 species